AAUGCCUGAUAAUUGCAGACUGCCAAGUUGCUCUUCUCCAGGAAGCAUUCUUCACAUUGGGAUGGGAUUGUGUGAACUAUGCUCCUGCUGACAACUUAGUUUUCCCUUAAAAUAUAAGAUAAAGUCAUGAAUAAGGGAGAAGCAGUGAGCCUAGAAGAGGUUUUGCAUGCUUCCACUCUUUCUGACUUUGCCAUGAGGAAAAGUCCUGGCUGACCUGCUGGAGAAUGUGAGACCACACAGAGAAGUGCGGAGCCUCAACCAACAGCUGGCCAAUCCCCAGAAGCUAAGUAGUCCAGCUGACCUGCAGCUGGCUAUGAACCGUGUGAGAAACCAAACCAAGACCAGAAGAACUGCCAGCCACACCUAGCUCACAAUGCCAAACUAUAGAGCUGUGAGCUAAAUAAAUAUUUAUUGUUUUAAGUCA